AGGCAGCAGUGGGGAAUAUUGCACAAUGGGGGAAACCCUGAUGCAGCGACGCCGCGUGAGUGAAGAAGUAUUUCGGUAUGUAAAGCUCUAUCAGCAAGGAAGAAAAUGACGGUACUUGACUAAGAAGCCCCGGCUAACUACGUGCCAGCAGCCGCGGUAAU
rnacentral:rRNA from 1 species